CCACUAGCCUGGGAUGCACUGCAGCAACCCGCUUUACCUGAUCUCUCCACCUCCCAGCAAGCAGUGAGUCAUGGGCGAUCAUUAGGAUCAUCACCUGCUUCUGGCUGCUCUUCUUGGUCUCAUCUCUCCCUACUACUAUUGCCUGCCUGUGUAACAGAACUCUGAGCUUGCUACUAGACCUCACUUUGUCUAAUCCUUCUGUGAGGACUGACAGUAUAUGAGUUGUUUGUGUCCUAGCAUGUCAAGACAGAUGCAUGGACAAAACAUGACUGAAAACACAGUGGGUGCUCACAGGGCCUGGCUCAGCCUCCCUUAGGCAGAGGAGCACAGGUUUGACCUCAGGAGGAAAUGCACCACUGGAAAACAACAUUGGAAAAUAAACUUUAUAUUCUGCAAAGUUUCUUCAGCUUUAAGUAACUAACUAAACACAAUAGGCAGUACCACUACUGCACAGAUAUUGGCAAACAUAGGCGUG